ACCGCUCGAUGCACGAGGGGGAGCCAGUGGGGCAGAGGCGGCGCGACCAGGAUCCAGAGUAGGCAGGGGCUGAGGGGGAGACGGAUCGUUUCAUGGCAUCGGUCGGGCUGCUAGGGUGAGGCGCGCGCAUUGGGGAAGAGAUCAUAGUGGAACUGGUGAUGACGCCGAUGGUGGGGGGAAUGGCGAUUAAAUAAGGAGUUUCUCACUUUCCAUGGGAAGUGCCGAUGGUGGGGGAAAUGGCGAUUAAAUAAGGAGUUCCUCACCUUUCAUGGGAAGUUGCGCCGGCUUCCCUGGGAAGCUAGGCAAUGGGUGCCUCUUGAGGAUGGCAACUGGCUCCUCGAAGAACAUACGAGUACAAUUGUGUUUCUUGGCGAGGUGAGGAUGUAUUUUAUGGUUUAGGAAAAGUGAAUAGGCCGGACUAACAUUUUCGAUCCUUUGUUGACAAAAAGAUGCUUGGUUUGAAUUUUGGCAAGGUGAGCAAGGAUUUCAUAGCAUUAAAUCCGAUGCAAUAUUCCAAGUACAAUCACAUUAUUUAUUAAUAAUCAUCCCAUAUUGAUUUUUAACCUCUCCAAAAUCCGAUGCACUAUUCCAAGUACAAUCACAUUAAAUGAAACAUAUAGUAAAAUAGAGUAGGAAAAUAGGGUAUUGAUCUUCCAUCCAAAGGAAACAGUUCAUUGAUCUUACAAACAAAAAAUAACAGCAUAGCAAAGAGGACUAGGGUUCCAACCAAAAUCUAAAGUUUCUAAUCAACAGCAUAGCAAAGAUAAACAGAAGGCAACAUAACCAAAGUGACACUUGCUAUUCUUGGCAGGUGUAUAUAGGAUUAUGGAGCCAUCCAGUAUGGUUCAUCGACGAUCAUGUGUAGUGCUGGCCCGUCGAGCAAGAACGGGUCCAACAGGAACCCCUCGCUCACUGGGAUAAUCAAUGUGGCGGGCGCACUUAACAUCAGUGGUUGAGCGGCCAGCCACCGGACACCCCCGCACUGCUGGCCCAGCCUCUAGGGCACUCCACCCACUGCACGCUAGCUUCAGGUGGCAACGGCGCCUGGCGGGAGACGGGGGUCGCGGUAUUCUAGCGACGGCAGCAUGGCUUCCCCCACCACUCCCCGGCUGACUAGCGAUGACCCUCGUAGGUGUUGCAGAGCGUGCGGGGCCCUAUCAGCCCAGUCCUCCACUACGACGCCAUCAUCAUGCUGCAGUCGCCACAUCUCCCCGCCAGCAUGGUGGCUGGCAGGGAUGAUGGGAGGGGGAGCGUCAAGGAUGGACAUUGUGUCGCUUCGGCUUCGACGUAAGGAAUGGUGCCGUCCUUAGGGGGAGAUGUUGGUGGAGGCAACGGACAGACACCAGGAGCCAUGUGAUAGCAAAGAAGGAAUAGUGAGGUUCAGAAAGCGAUUAAAUAAGGAGUUCCUCACCUUCCAUGGGAAGUUGCACUGGCUUCCCUAGGAAGCUAGGCAAUCGGCGCUUCUCGAUCUGAAUGCAAUCGGUUAUGAUUCUUGGCUAUCGGAUUUAGUAGCCUGGCAGUCCACCAGGGGGUUACCCAAGUGGUAUAUUUGUAGGCAGGGAGGAUUGUGAGAUUAAGAACUCGAAGGUAAUCACGAGAACACGAAGGUUUAGACAGGUUCGGGCCUCCGAAGAGUAAUACCCUACAUCCUCUAUUUUGGUGGUUUGUAU
rnacentral:lncRNA from 1 species